CGCACGGUGCAAGUCGGGCUACGAUUCAGGGGAAGGGUUUGAGUGAUGCACGGGCUGCUCCGGGUGGUUGGCUCCUACGUCAUCGUGCCGCGCGCCGAGCUAUAAUAGCCGGGCCUGCAGGGAGACUCUCCGGGCCAAAGGAGAGGUCUUCAGGAGGAAGUUGUUGGAAAACAGGCUUCAUAAUGGAAGUUGCAUAGUGCUGCAGUUUCCGCCUUGCUGUUGCUGUCAGCUAGCAUAACUGGAAAAGUAUGACACGAUUCCGAAGAUGCCUAAGUAUUUCCCAUUUGAUUUCGACUGGCCUUUGGGAUGUUGAAGAAAAAUUUAAUGUUGUUCACAUUGUGCCAAGCUGUUCAAAAGAAAAGUGGAGAAUUUGAUGUAAGAUUUAUAUUUCUGCUUCUGCAUUGUGGUCUAGGAGAUUAGGAGUGUGUUACUGUAUAAUGGCUCCCAUUGGCAAGUGGAAAAAUUCCUGGUCUACAACAAUGUUAAAUUAAGCCAAAUGCUUAUUUUAUUAGACUCCUCUAAAUGUAAUGUGAAUUAGAAGCACAAUGCUUAACAUGUGCAUAGUGCUUCCCAUCUUUAAGAUAUUGAACAAAUAUUAAGGCUCACAACCUCUUUAAAGUUGGUACUACAGCUUAUCCUCAUAUUUGCAGGUGGGAAACUGAAGCAAAGAGAUGCAAAGUGACUUGAUCAAGGUCACUCACUGAGAGUAUGUUUACACUAUGGAGACUGCAUGGACAUAGCUGUGGCGCUGUAGCUAUGUUGGCAUAAUCCCAUAGCGUAGAUGCAGCCUACACUGAUGAAAGGGAUUUUUCUGUUGUCAUAAGAAUACCACCUCCCCAAGCAACAAUAUGUGCAUCUUCACUGGGGUUUAGGUUGGCGUAGCUAUGGCAUUCAGGAGUGUAGAUUUUUCACAGCCUUAAUUUUAAGCGUAGACCGGGUCUUAGUUAGUGGCAGAGCCAGAAAUAGAACCCAGGAGUUCUGGCCUUUGGCUCCCAUGCUCAUUCUAUAUUAAUCAAAAUGUAGAACUUGGAUUACUUUACUAAAAUUGAUUUUUGGUUUCUGAGUGGCAGUUCAUACAAAGGUAGCUAUUUUUCAUAAAACCCAGCCAUUUCUGAGUUAAAGUGGAUGAAAGGAAGGGUGUCUUUGUAAACAUUUUGUAAGUUAUAUUUGUUUUUUAAAAGUGAGUUAAACGACUAGUGUUACCUGUCACUUCAUGUACAACCCCAAACACUUAAGAGUGAAGAAAUUAAUAGCUGCAAGAUAUUGUAAAUCUUGCUCCUACGCAUAUGAGAAAAUAUUAUUUUCAAAUACAAAGAAAUGCAUAUUUCAUUAUAACACAUCAACUUGAAGUUUGGUUUGUUUUGUUAAUGCUUUUAAAAAUAUUUUGAUAAGUACUUUCUUCAGAUUCCCUUAAAUGGGAAAACUUGUGUUCUUUAUCAGUUGGCAUCAGUAUUUUUGGGUGAAGAGUUCCUAAUUUUUGUUUCUUGAAAAUGAUGUAUGUAGCUUAAUAGGAAAAGUGUGUUCUGUGUUUGUACAGCACCUAGCCCAAUAAGGUCCUGAUCCAUGACAGGGGCUCCUAGCUGCUACAGGAUUACAAAUAAGUAUAAAACAGUAUUGAUUUAUAAUAAAAUUAGAAUGUAUGUGGACUUGCAUUUGAGACUGAUUAUGUGUUACUGAUGCCUUUGUUUUUCAGACAUGUUUAUAUUUGAGACUGGUGAUGAAAGAAUAUUGAUUUUUUUGCGUUGGAGCCAAGAUAGUUGUGAUAUGUUGCAAUAGACAUUUAUCAUAUUUAAUAAACACGUUACUCUCAAGUGGGAGUGUAAAAUAGGAUAAUCUCUAGACUAGUAAAUAUUGUUUUGAAGGGCUUUAGUGUAGUAAGUGAUGUAACAGGUGUGUAGAGUGUUGUCACUUUUGGUACCUUUUACUGCUUUUUUAAUGAGAUUUGUUUUUGCAUGUUUUAACACCUUCUGGUUUUUUAUUUUCUUGUAGUAAAUUAACAUAAUUUUUAAAUAAAUGGGAAGGAGAAACAUGGGACUCAGUGGCCUUUUUUCCUGAUUCUGAAAGAUGCUGUGAAAAAAGCGAACCAAACACCUUCACCAUCUCAUGACUCUGUCUUGAGCAACUGCAAUUCGGUGACCUUCUGUGAGUUAAACAGUGUUAGUAGGAGUCUAUUACACUUGCCUAAAACUACUGUUGCUGUGGAAUAUAAUCCAAAUUUUGAGCUGAAUAUGAACUAUCAUAGGAUCAAAUUAAUUCAUUGUUUACUUUAUAUCCAACCAUAAAUUCCCAAGUGGAUUUUCUUUCAGGCUGCAUCCUAUCCAUAAAUCCCAUUCAUUGCCAUACUUGCUAAAGCCCAACUCGCCUGCAUUCAAAGUAAUUUUUUGCAGUUCCUUGCGCUUUUUUAAGUCAGCUGAUAAUUGACAGACUGCUACAAAAUCUCCUCUCAGAUAGGGCAUGGGAGGUUUUGUGGCUUUUGUAUUUUGAAUCUUGCAACUGUGGGCCUGGUUAGCCAUGAAAGUCACUCAAUGUAUUUUGUGUUCAGGAGGGAAUUAUCAUGGCAAGGUCUGAGUUAGUUUGCUGUAAAUAGCUGCUUAUAUGUUUUCUGACCUCUUGUUAUGUUCUAGUGCUUCCUUGCUCUGGCUAAGGGUGGCUAAUCAACAGAUCAUGUCUGGAUUUUGCCUAGUGGGCAUUACCAAUCAGUAGUUGAACUCUUUGCAGAGGUGGUGGAAGAAGUAAACAAGUGUCUUUUGAAAGAAAUUACCAGAGUCCGCACCUACAGUUGCAGGUAGGGUUAUAGUACAUCAGUGGAAGAAUACAACCUCAACUGCUUUGAAAGGGAACAGGUCACAUUUAAACCUAAGCAUUGGCAAACUUCUUUCUCUUUUUUUUUUUCCCCCUCCCCCCCCCCCCCCCUUCUUGGCAUUCCACAUGGUAGAUAAAAAUUCCCAACCAGCAGACAGGGAACAGGACAAAAGUAAAACCUGUGACCACUUAAAUGGCCACUUGAACAUGCUAAUUUUUCCUGUUACACCAAGUGCAGAGAGCUGAUUUUGUUGAAGGACAAUGACAAUAGACAGGAACGUUUAUUGUCUUCAACUGAUAAAAACCAGAGGGGCUUCAUAUAAUCCAGGAGGCUUUCCUCUUUGUUUGGGGUACUGAGAUAGGAAGGAAAGCUUAAAAGUGUUUGCUGUAACAUGUACAAAUCUUUGGUCAGUGUCCACAAACAUGGAUGCUCAGUGCCAGUUUCUGCUGAAUUGAUUAUGGAAGGGUGCAUUGUGGUGGUUUUCUACCUGGCGGAUCUGUGACAGUGUCAGAGCAGCCUCAACCUACCACAAAGAGUAUAAAGGAGAAGGACAGUCAUGAAAACUUUUCCAGAACUUUUAGUUUUCAGUUAUUCUUCCAGCUCCUACAAGGCAGACCUGCCUCAUAAGUUUAAGUCUGUAGAGACAGGUGAUCGUCUGUCUCACAUGAUGACAAGCAGUACUGAGGGGUGUGCAAACCCCCGUGAUGGAUUUAUUGACUUACCUAGGGGAAUAGUAUGGUUUGUGUCUUCUUUUUCUUAUUGUGCCUUCCAUCUCCAGGUGAUUCCUGUACCACUCACUCUUGUGCUUCUGAAGACAUUAAAGAGUCCUUUAUUGUACAAGCGCAAGAACAACGGAUCGAAUUACUAGAAAUCUCAGAGUGCUUGGAUAUCACGCAAGAAGUUUUGGAUGAUGGCAUCGUACCAGACAUCAUAGAGUGAAGUUCCCAGAUAUGGCUCAAUUCUGAGAAUCCAUGAAUCUCUGGGGCAGUCCUGCAGGCAAUGUCAGGUGAGACAUAGACUUCAUUCAAGAGGCAGUGAGACCUAUUCUUCAGUGGAUGUCCAGUUUGCUGCGACCAUUUGAACUCGUCCCCACCUGCACCAGGGGUUCUGGUAGCCCAGCUCCGAGGCCUGGUCUACACUACAGAAACCGCAGACAUGCUGCUUCUACAAGGAGCUGCAAGCCUUCCUUGGCGGAGACACCACCACCAAGAGCCCCGUGGAUACUUCGGGGGAGCUGAAAUCAGAGGCCUCUGCAGUCACGACGAGGAGGAGGAGUUGUGGAGGACAGGUGAAUGGGGGAAUCCAGUGGCACAGUGAGCCAGGGCCUCUUUCUGACCACUGGAGCAGUCGAGCAAGUCCCUACUGUCUAGCACUGGCGAGCCUGAUGCAGGGGUUGGAACCUCUGCUGGAAAUUUGCCUUGAGGGUCCCUUCAUCCACACCACUGGAACAGCUCAGAUGAUGAGAAGAAAGGGGAUGAGGGAUGACAUGUUCCAAGAGAUUCUGCAAGCCUCUGGUGUUGCACAUAUCGAGCAGAGGGCUUGGAGAAGCAUCCUUGUGGACAGAAUGGAAAGAGAGAGUGCAGAGAGGAGUGAUACACGCAGCAGGUCAUGAUAGCGCUUCUCAAGCUCCAGACGGACAUGCUGGAGAUUCUUACAGAUAUUCAGGUCCAAGUAACCCUUGUUUGCCUCCCGCUGCAGUCUGUCGAUAACUGCAUUCUGGGACCACCUUACACUACUGGCCCCUACAUUCCACAUAUAUUUCUGGGCCACUGCAGUACCCCUACCACUCCACCCCAAGGGGGAGUACACACAAUCCGAGCCGAACGUACACUGACGUAUGAGAGACAUGGUUGGUGUAUUUGUGUUUGAAAUGAGAAUGAUUGUUCUUUCUCCUUCAAAGGUUCUUUUCCCUGUAAUUUACAUAGUUUCAUUCAGUUAGUUAUUUUUAUUUGCACGAGUUUGUAAUAAAAGUCUAUUUAUGGAAA